AUUGGGAACUAAAAGGCCGCGGUAUUAUGACCGUGCAAAGGUAGCAAAAUCAUUAGUUUUUUAAUUGAAGGCUAGAAUGAAUGGUUGGACAAGAAAUAAACUGUCUUAAUUAAAAAUAUUGAAUUUAACUUUUAAGUGAAAAGGCUUAAAUAAUCUGAAGGGACGAUAAGACCCUAUAAAACUUUAUAUUUAAAAGUAGAGAUUAAUUUUAUUUGGAUAUUGCUAUUUAAAAUAUUUGGUUGGGGCGACAAAGAUAAAAGGUUAAAUAACUGUCUUUUUUUUUAUUACAAUAAUGUUUGGUUUAAUGAUCCUAAAAUGGAUUUAAGAUUAAGUUACUUUAGGGAUAACAGCGUAAUUUUCUUUAAGAGUUCUUAUCGACAAGAGAGCUUGCGACCUCGAUGUUGAAUUAAAAGUUCUUUAUAGAGUAGAGUCUAUAAUAGAAGGUCUGUUCGACCUUUAAAA
rnacentral:rRNA from 1 species